UACGUAGGUGGCAAGCGUUGUCCGGAUUUAUUGGGGUUAAAGGGUGCGUAGGCGGCCUUAUAAGUCAGGGCUGAAAUAUCCCGGCUUAACCGGGAGGGUGGCAUUGAUACUGUAGGGCUUGAGUAAAGUUGAGGUUGGCGGAAUUGACGGUGUAGCGGUGAAAUGCUUAGAUAUCGUCAAGAACACCUAUUGCGAAGGCAGCUAACUAAGCUUUAACUGACGCUGAUGCACGAAAGUGUGGGGAUCAAACAGG
rnacentral:rRNA from 1 species